UACGUAGGGGGCAAGCGUUGUCCGGAUUUAUUGGGCGUAAAGAGCGUGUAGGCGGCCAUGCAGGUCAGCUGUGAAAACUCGAGGCUCAACCUCGAGACGUCGGUUGAAACCGUAUGGCUAGAGUCCGGAAGAGGAGAGUGGAAUUCCCGGUGUAGCGGUGAAAUGCGCAGAUAUCGGGAAGAACACCCGUGGCGAAGGCGGCUCUCUGGGACGGUACUGACGCUGAGGCGCGACAGCGUGGGGAGCAAACAGG
rnacentral:rRNA from 1 species